rnacentral:rRNA from 1 species
AACGAACGCUGGCGGCAUGCCUAACACAUGCAAGUCGAACGAGACCUUCGGGUCUAGUGGCUCACGGGUUCGUAACGCGUGGGAACCUGCCCUUAGGUUCGGCAUACCUCCCCGAAAGGGGUGCUAAUAACGGAUACUGUCUUCGGACCAAAGAUUUAUCGCGUUUGGAUGGGCCGGCGUUUGUUUCGUUGGUUGGUUGGGUAACAGCCUACCAAGGCGAGGAUCCAUAGCUGGACUGAGAGGAUGACCAGCCACACUGGGACUGAGACACGGCCCAGACACGUAAGGGAGGAAGCAGUGGGGAAGAAUGGACAACGGGAGAAAGCCUGAUCAAGCAAUGCCGCGGGAGUGAUGAAGGACUUAGGGUUGUAAAGCUCUUUUACCCGGGAUGAUAAUGACAGUACCGGGAGAAUAAGCUCCGGCUAACUCCGUG